rnacentral:tRNA from 1 species
GCGGAAGUAGCUCAGUUGGUAGAGCAUCAGCCUUCCAAGCUGAGGGUCAGUUGGUAGAGCAUCAGCCUGCCAAGCUGAGGGUCGCGAGUUCGAACCUCGUCUUCCGCUCCA